rnacentral:rRNA from 1 species
UACGUAGGCAGCGAGCGUUGUUCGGAGUUACUGGGCGUAAAGAGUGCGUAGGCGGUUUUCUAAGUUUGGUGUGAAAUCUCCCGGCUUAACUGGGAGGUGCGCCGAAAACUGGAAGGCUUGAGUAUGGGAGAGGUAAGCGGAAGUUCCUGGUGUAGCGGUGAAAUGCGUAGAUAUCAGGAGGAACACCUGCGGUGUAGACGGCUUACUGGACCAUAACUGACGCUGAGGCACGAAAGCGUGGGUAGCAAACAGG